CCCUUAAAGGGGGUGACUGUACAUGCAGUCGAGCGAACAGAUGAGGAGCUUGCUCCUCUGACGUUAGCGGCGGACGGGCUGAGUAACACGUGGGCAACCUGCCCUGCAGAUUGGGAUAACUCCGGGAAACCGGGGCUAAUACCGAAUAACAAAAAGAAUCUCCUGAUUCUUUUUUGAAAGGCGGCUUUUAGCUGUCACUGCAGGAUGGGCCCGCGGCGCAUUAGCUAGUUGGUGAGGUAACGGCUCACCAAGGCGACGAUGCGUAGCCGACCUGAGAGGGUGAUCGGCCACACUGGGACUGAGACACGGCCCAGACUCCUACGGGAGGCAGCAGUAGGGAAUCUUCCGCAAUGGACGAAAGUCUGACGGAGCAACGCCGCGUGAGUGAAGAAGGUUUUCGGAUCGUAAAGCUCUGUUGUCAGGGAAGAACAAGUACCAUAGUAACUGAUGGUACCUUGACGGUACCUGACCAGAAAGCCACGGCUAACUACGUGCCAGCAGCCGCGGUAAUACGUAGGUGGCAAGCGUUGUCCGGAAUUAUUGGGCGUAAAGCGCGCGCAGGUGGUUCCAAAAGUCUGAUGUGAAAGCCCCCGGCUCAACCGGGGAGGGUCAUUGGAAACUGGGGAACUUGAGUGCAGGAGAGGAAAGUGGAAUUCCACGUGUAGCGGUGAAAUGCGUAGAUAUGUGGAGGAACACCAGUGGCGAAGGCGACUUUCUGGCCUGUAACUGACACUGAGGCGCGAAAGCGUGGGGAGCAAACAGGAUUAGAUACCCUGGUAGUCCACGCCGUAAACGAUGAGUGCUAAGUGUUGGGGGGGUUUCCGCCCCUCAGUGCUGCAGCUAACGCAUUAAGCACUCCGCCUGGGGAGUACGGGCCGCAAGGCUGAAACUCAAAGGAUUUGACGGGGGCCCGCACAAGCGGUGGAGCAUGUGGUUUAAUUUCGAAGCAACGCGCAGAACCUUACCAGGGUCUUGACAUCCCGGUAGACCGGCACUGGAGAACAUGGUUUCCCUUCCGGGGACGACGAUGACAUGAUGUGGCAUGGAUUGUCGUUCCCUCCGUGUCGUGAAGAUGUUGACGUUAAGUUCCGCACCGAACCGCCAGCCCUUUGAUUCUUAGUUGUCAAGCUAU
rnacentral:rRNA from 1 species